rnacentral:sRNA from 1 species
GCUGCGGGCGCGGGGAGGGGGCGCCGCGCCGCGGGGGCCAUGGCGGAGCCAGGAAGCCGGGAGUCCGAGACCCGGGUCACCAAUAUAAAUGCUUGAUGAGUGAAUGAAUGACUUCCGUCUGGGACUUGGUUGCAAAUAAAGCCGAGCUGCAUCUUAGGGAGGGGUGGAGACUUUGCCCCUGUUUGUGCCUUGAAGCCAGCAGGGCCUUGCCCUAGGAUACCUCCACCCACCCUCCUGCCCAGCAAGUGGAGGCCCGCAGCCCGAGUGUCGCCGCCAUGGCUUCGCCGCAGCUCUUCCGCGCGCUGGUGUCGGCGCAAUGGGUGGCCGAGGCGCUGCGGGCCCCGCGCGCUGGGCAGCCCCUGCAACUGCUGGACGCCUCCUGGUACCUGCCGAAGCUGGGGCGCGACGCGCGACGCGAGUUCGAGGAGCGCCACAUCCCGGGCGCCGCUUUCUUCGACAUCGACCAGUGCAGCGACCGCACCUCGCCCUACGACCACAUGCUGCCCGGGGCCGAGCAUUUCGCGGAGUACGCAGGCCGCCUGGGCGUGGGCGCGGCCACCCACGUCGUGAUCUACGACGCCAGCGACCAGGGCCUCUACUCCGCCCCGCGCGUCUGGUGGAUGUUCCGCGCCUUCGGCCACCGCGCCGUGUCACUGCUUGACGGCGGCCUCCGCCACUGGCUGCGCCAGAACCUCCCGCUCAGCUCCGGCAAGAGCCAACCUGCUCCCGCCGAGUUCCGCGCUCAGCUCGAUCCCGCCUUCAUCAAGACCUACGAGGACAUCAAGGAGAACCUGGAAUCCCGGCGCUUCCAGGUGGUGGACUCCCGAGCCACUGGCAGGUUCCGCGGCACCGAGCCCGAGCCCCGAGACGGUAACGCGGGGGAAGCGGGCAGGAGGUCGUCGGGGGCGCGGCCUCUACGCCCUGAGCAGUGCCCUGGACUUGACCUUUCUUUUAUUUUUUUAAUUUAUCUUGCUUUCAUUUCCUUUCCUUUUUUCUUUCCUUCCCUUUCCCUUCCCUCCUUUCCCCCUUUUCCCUACCCUUGCCUUCUUUUCACAGGGUCUGGCUCUACCGCCCAGGCUGGAGUGCAGUGGCACAAUCAUGGCUCACUGCAGCCUCAACCUCCUGGGCUCAGGUGACCCUCCCCGCUCAGCCUGACCUUGCCUUUAAAGGCCACUGCAUGAGGUGGGGAAGGAGAUUUGACUUCCACUUGCCUUGGUGACUUUGUUUGUUAAGCAGAACAAUAAUACUGGCCCUUCCCCUCCUGUGCUUUGGGCAGUGACUCUCCCUAGCUCAUUGGGAACUCUGGUUGGCCAAACAGCUCUCAAUCCAACACUAGAGGUGUGGGGGGUCACUGUGGAAUGUUGGGGGGCAGGCCCCAGUAUGAGAGAAAAACCCAGAGGGAUGGUCCUGAUCAGGGCUACCCAUGCCCCUGAGGAUGGUGGAAUGAAGGCAGAGUCGGGGGCUGCAUGAAAGGAAAGUCUCUCCCAGGGGCCAAAGCUUGGAGAACUGAGGGUGGAAGGGGGGUUAAACAGAAGUGGGUAGGGCAGAGCCUUCUGCCUGUGGGCUGGGUUUCCUCAGGCAAGAAGCCUGUGGGUAAGCUCUGUAUAAUGCGAGGAGGAGUCCCCACAAAGCAGGCUGGUCAGUGGUCACACUGGUGUGAGUCUUUCAAACAUCCCGUGUAAGUAGAUACUGUCAUUGCACAGAGGAGGAAAUGGAGCCUGGCCCAAGGUCUCAAGAAACAACCCAGCCGGGAUUCAGACUCGGCAGCCUGCACACUUAACAGCCGUGAGCAACCAGGAACUCCCCAGCCCUUUCUCUUGUGCCUUCAAGAGUGCAAGAAACUGACCACUGCCCCUAGAGAGCUCUCUGAAGAGCAUUCCCAUGGCUACAGAUUGGGUUUGGAGCCGCUUGGGCUCACCAUGGGCCAGCAAUGUUUUGGAUGGCCUGAGGGCAAGGACUGUCCCUGCUCUUAAUGCAUCCUGAAGAUUAGCUCAGUACCUGGCACAGAGUCGAUGUUCCAGAGAGGUUUGGUGAAUACAGAAGGUCCCUGUUGCAUGGAAUCCUGCAAAGCAAUGUUGGUGUUACCGGAACCAUAGGAAACAGCUGAUAUCCAACCAUUUUUGAACCUACACAGGUGUCAGUUUCAUGUGGUUCAUGAGAGCACCACCUUGAUCCUGUUGGGUUCUCCAUCUCAGCCCCAGGGGGAUGAGCAACAUAGGGGAGCUAGCUGGUGGUGCCAGACUGGGGUUCAGAUCCCUGCCACAUUUACAUGGGCUUCGUGACACACGACGGGUCAUCUAAUGUCUCCGAAUCGCAGCUUCUGCCUAUGUAGAAUGGGAGCAGUAACACAGAGCAUAAAGACAAGAUAGGGGCAAGGAGAGCCAGUGUGUAAAGCACUCAGCUCCGGGUUUUCAUGCACAAGUGUGCUGCACACUUGUGCCUCACACUUAUUUCAGUCGCGCUCGCUCAUCUAUAGAAUGGGAGGUGAUACACGCCUGGCAGGCUUGUUGUCAAAACAAACUAAGCUCAGUGCAGCUGGAUCAGUGAUGAAUGUCACUGUCAUCAUUCCCACUCCACAGCCUGAGGCCUGGCCAAGUGCUCCUGUGAUGUGCCACACCAGUCCAGCAGGCAGGGGAAACAUGCUUUGCUUGGUGGGAUUCAAGGUGUAGGGAUGGCCCUCCCUUUACAGUCACCACCCUGGGUUGAGAGUUUGUUCCUCCUCCUUGCUCUGGGCUGGUCUCUAUGUGAUAUCUGACCAAGCCCGGUAACUGUGUCUGUUAAGUGGGAUGCAUGACCCAUUCCAGCCUCUCCACAGACUCGGGAGUGCUGUCUCUAUGCCAGGGUCUGAGAAUAGAUACCCAUACAUGGGUCAGCAGCUCCUGUGGGGGUGUCACUCCACUGCGGAGGGAAACCAAGGCAGAAGCUGGACAAGAGUCUGAAUGGCUCAGAUUUGAAUCAUUAGUUUUUGGGGGGUUUUUUGUUUGUGUUUGUUUCUGUUGUUGUUGUUGUUAUUGUUUUGAGACGGAGUUUUGCUCUUGUUUCCCAGCUGGAGUACAGUGGUGCAGUCUCGGCUCACCACAACCUCCGCCUCCCGGGUUCAAGUGAUUCUCCUGCCUUAGCCUCCCGAGUAGCUGGGAUUACAGGCAUGUGCCACCACGCCCGGCUAAUGUUUGUAUUAUUAGUAGAGACGGGGUUUCUCCAUGUUGGUCAGGCUGGUCUCGAACUCCCAACCUCAGGUAAUCUGCCCCCCUCGACCUCCCAAAGUGCUGGGAUUACAGGCGUGAGCCACCGUGCCCAGCCCAAGCAUUAGUUGUGAAGGUUUAUUUUGUUGCAAAUCCCAGUCCUGCAUGAAAAUGGGAAUGUUAGUAACCCCUGCCUCAAGGUGGGGCAGUGAAAACAAAAAACACCCUGGGAGUCUGCAGAGGUGUGGGCCUUUCCCAUCCCAUUCUUUCUGCUACAAUCAAAAUGAUCGUUUAAAAAUGGAAAUCUAGGUUGGGCAAGGUAACUCCUACCUAUAAUCCUCACACUUUGGAAGGCUGAGGUGGGAGGAUCCCUUGAGCCCAGGAGUUCAAGACCAUCCUGGACAUGAUGGCAAGCCCCUUCUCAAUAGAAAAAUUAAAAGUAACAGUAAAAAAGUAAACACAGAAGCCUGAGUUCCCCCUGCAGUCAGGUCAAAGCCCCCAAGUCUUACUCCAGGCCUGCUAAGGCGUUCCCAUCCCCUUCAGCUUCCCCUUUGGGCCUCUGGCUCCUCACUGUCUGGGCUUUCGCGACAAUGACCUUUAACCCCUCCAGGCAACAGGUGGUUCCCUCGCCUCUCAGAUUCCCUCUGCCUGGGAUGCUCUAGGCCUCCAUCCACCCAGACCCCUUUAUGUGACUGAAUCCUACUCAUCCUUUGGGGCAUUCUCAGAGAAACUUCCUCCACCCACUGAGCCCCCAGCCAGUGUGGCAUGACAGUGGGAAGCAUAGACUUGCCUGGGUUUACUCCUCCCUGCCCUCUGCUAGCUUGCACAAGCUAGUCUUUGUACUUCAUUCUCUUCAUCUUUACAAAAGAGAGGAUAAUAAUUUCUUUCCCAGAGAAUUUCGGGGUGGAUUAAAGGAGAAACUAUAGCUGACCGUCUCCAAACAGUGCCUGGCAGAAAGUAAGCAUUCAAUAACAUCAGCUAUUGGCCAGGCAAGGUGGCUUACUCCUAUAUUCCCAGCACUUUGGGAGGCCGAGGCAGAAGGAUUACUUGAGGCCAGGAAUUCAAGACCAUCCUGAGCCACAUACUGAGACCCCAUGUCUAUAAAAACCAAAUUAGGCCAGGCGUGGUGGUUCACACCUGUAAUCCCAGCACUUUGGGAGGCCAAGGCAGGUGGAUCAUCUGAGGUCAGCAGUUCGAGACCACCCUGGCCAAUAUGGUGAAACCCCAUCUUUACUAAAAAUACAAAAAUUAGCCAGGUGUGAUGGGUGCCUGUAAUCCCAGCUACUCAGGAAGCUGAAGCAGGAGAAUCACUUGAACCCAGGAGGUGGAGGUUGCAGUAAGCCAAGAUCAUGCCACUGCACUCCAGCCUGGGCAACAAGAGCAAAACUCCAUCUCAAAAAAAAAAAAAAGAAAAAAAAACAAAUUAGCUGAGCAUGGUGGCAUGUGCCUGUAGUAGUCCCAGCCCCUCGGGGGGAAGCUGAGGCAGGAGGAUUGCUUGAGCCCAGGAGGCUGAGGCUGCAGUGAGCCUUGAUCAUGCCACCGCACUUCAGCCUGGGCAACAGAAUGAGACCCUGUCUCAGUAAUAAUAAUAUCAGCUAUUGCUAUUACUGGCAUUAUUUUUUUUUACAUGCCCCAGGCCACCCAGUAGGGCACUUUUGGAACACCCAUUAUGCUUGUAAUUAUUCAGUUGCCUGUCUGCCCUGCCAGAUUAAAGCUCCUUGCCUGCAGGUACUGCACGUUCUAGCUAGGCAGGGGUCUUGUUUAUUGCUUCGCUGUCCCUAGGGUGCAUAGUCAGGAAACCUUGGGGCCCAGUUCUUAGGUUCAAAGUUCAGUCAGCAGUUUGCUAGAUGCAUUAGCCUCAGGUGGUACUUAACCUCAGCAUCACCGUGUAUAAAAUGGGGGCUCCUCUAAACAGUGCUCAGGUUUUAUGGUUGUGAGAAUUAAAUGAGAUGGUGGAUAUAAAGGAUUUAGCACCAUGCUUGCAUGGGAUGCUCUCAAUAUCUCGAGCACCACAAAUACGAGGUACCAUUCAUAGCAUCCUUCUAUUUGUCCCCUCCUCCCUGGCUCCCCUGCUGUAGGCAUUGAACCUGGCCACAUCCCGGGUACCGUGAACAUCCCCUUCACAGACUUCCUGACCCAGGAGGGGCUGGAGAAGAGCCCUGAGGAGAUCCGCCAUCUGUUCCAGGAGAAGAAAGUGGACCUGUCUAGGCCACUGGUGGCCACGUGUGGCUCUGGCGUCACGGCCUGCCACGUGGCACUAGGGGCCUACCUCUGCGGCAAGCCAGACGUGCCCAUCUACGAUGGCUCCUGGGUGGAGUGGUACAUGCGCGCCCGGCCCGAGGAUGUCAUCUCAGAGGGCCGGGGGAAGACCCACUGAAGCUGGGCAGGACACAGGCGAGCUCAGGUGAUGCCGGCCACCAGCAAUGCCUGGCCUGGUAGCUCCGCUUCUGCUUUCACCAAGAGAGUGUUUCUUCACUCAACUCAGGUGGCAUUUGGGGUGACAUCUCAAAGGCCAGGAAUUCCGUUGACUUGUUGGCUGCCAGGAGGAAAGACGGAGGCGAGCCCUGGAGGAGGGAGGCCACAACUCCGAGCUGCCCACCUGGUGCUGAGCUGGGGCCCCGCCUCCUUUCUGUUUUAUUUUUGAGGAAAUAAAAUAACCAAGUGCU